rnacentral:lncRNA from 1 species
UAACGCUCUCCAACUGUUUUGGUACUUAUACAUCCUCUGCUUAAACGUUUAGCGUUCCUGGUGAAGGUAAAUGCAGAAAAGCGCUUCGGACACAUGAAAUUAAUAACUUGUUUUCAUUUUUUUAAUGUUCCCUAAUCAUUUUAAAUUUAACAGAAAGUAUAUAUGAUAUAUACAUAUCCAUAAGUAUAUUACCAUGAAUGGUUUUACACUAGUAAUUUUUGGGGCUCAUAAUAGAUUGCUAUUCGGUGUGAGCCAAUGCUCCGUGUUGAAGACCGUAUUUUGACCAAUAAUUUUUUACUCUUAUAGAUUGUGACUUGGAUUGAUAGUUGUCUCUUUGGCACUCAUUCCGUAUCUUCCUAUAUCUAUAUGAUGUAACAAAUAUGUUUAAUGUUUGUAUAUGCAUUUUUUUUAUGUAUACAUUGAUGUGUUUUUAAUCAGUCUCUCGAAUCACUUUUUAGAGUGAAUGAUGUAUAAACUUUGGUUUACCUUUUAUAUAUGCAUAUGUUUAAUAAAGUAUUUUUCUUGUCUUGUCAUGUCUAUACAAAAUAUAUA